GCUUAUCACAAAAAUAUAGUUUAUUCCAAUUUCAAAUCACUACCCCCCAAAAAAAUAAUUUUAAAACAAUUACUCAUCUUUUCCUAUGAUAGAUAAAAUAAGCCUGACAAAAUUAAAGGGGCCUUUCAUGCUACCCAGAAAGGAGUCCAUACGGCGUUUUCUGGGUUACUGUCUUAACUUAAAGGGAAACUUGCACAACGUCCAGAGCCUUUGAUGUCCCACAAAUGAAGGACGAGGGUAUCCUCAAAUUCUUGGCAAGAGGAACCCACUUAGGCAGCACCAACCUUGAUUUCCAAAUGGAACAGUCAUCUACUAAGGAAAAAGUGGUGGCAUUACCUCAAAUAUCUGAAGAGAACCUGGGAGAAGCUUCUGUUGGCAUCUUGUGCCAUUGUCUCCACUGAAAAUCUGGCUGACAUCAGUGUCACAUCCUCCAGAAUACUGGCCAGUGAGUUGUGCUGAAGUUCACUGCUGCUGUCAUUGGAGCCACUACUACUGUUGGCCACAGCACUCCUGGAAGCUUCCCUGAUGGGAUCCAGGCAGCUCCGGCAGCCGUGUCUUCCGGGAGUCGUGUCUUCCGGGAGUACUGAUCCCACGGCUGACCGCCAGCUUCGCACAGGGGCACCUUAUGUUAACCUGCCCACCAUCUCAGUGUGUAACACAGACACUGCUCAGUGCUACGCGGGUAUUGUCAUCCCGGGCCACAACCGGGGAGCUCGCUCAGUUAGGUGUGAAGUAGGGGUUGCUGGCUAGGGAAGUUCUGCGCAUGCGCAGCUCCAUGUCCCGUGAGCAUUCGGGAGAGGUCAUGCGUGAUCUCCUUCUACAGAGCUCCCGAAGAGAGGAAAAGGAAGAGUAGGCUGCUGCUGAAAAGGCUGCCACCAAGGAGGAAUUCCAGAGUGAAUGGACCCCUCCGGCUCCCAAGUUCACUGCUUCUUAACCUGAGGUCGCAGCCGGGUCAGGUGGCACGUAGGUGCCCUCUGUGUCUAUUCAGCGGUUGCCUCCUGCGGACCGGAUGGAGCCUCAGCCUGUCACUGAGGACUGGUCUGCAGCUCCUACUGCUCGGGCCUUUCUGGAGUAAAUGAACAUUUAGACAUGGCGAAGCAACUGUAUUUGAAGAAAAGAAGAAAAGUGAAGGCAAUACUUGGCAUAAGGAGAGGAAGAAUGAGAAGGAUGUCCAAAGAAGGAGCCAGAAAGGAAAGAGGAGAAGAAAGGCAAGUCUCAAGAUUUGAGCCCAAGGAUUCAGGAGCACUGAGCUUAGAGAAGAAAGGCCUCAGCUCUUUCAUAUAUCUACAGGCCUAAGAGGACUGGCAAAGACCAAAUCAAUAGUGGGAAGAAUCGAGUCAAGACAGAUGUCAUAACUGUAUUAAAGGUCAAUGAGGUUUAAACAAAUUGGACUCUACUCAUAAAUAAUUGACUCACCAUUUAUACCAAGGUACAGAUAAACCAUGGUGUAGAAAUCAUGCCUCUCUGGAUAGAAUGGAUGUUACUGCUCCUCCAGGAUCCUGAGGAUACAGAGAAGAAUAAGAUAUAUACCCUGUCCUGGAGUAUCUAACAGUUUAUACAGGAAGAAAAAAUGUAAACAGAAUGGUCUGUGGGACAAGAAGAGUGAUUGACAACUGCAGAAAUUACAUCUGAGGUUUAGUCCUGCAGGAAAAGGGGAUACAAAUUGCCUGCAAAUUAUCCACAAGUCCCUGAUGAGCCUGAGGAGAAAAUUUAAGAGGCUUCAGUCUUUCUUCAACAAACACGUUCACGUAUUUCCCUUUGCUAUAACACACAAACACCCAAGAGAAAUU
rnacentral:lncRNA from 1 species